ACGGGACAAAAUGGAUCCCAUUAUUAAUGGAAAUUCUGCCAAUGUUUAUCUAACCGAUAGUUAUUUAAA
rnacentral:misc_RNA from 1 species